AUGACAUUCUCGCGACCCCCGCGGAGUCCCCGGCCCCUCACCCUCGCGCGCCCAAGGGGAAUGGCCGGGGCGCACGCCGACGGUCGAGGCGGGACCCCGGCUCCAGCUUGUGGCCCGCGGCGCGGCGAGAGCGGGACUUGGCAUCUCGGGGUGUCCGCCCCCGCCCCGCCGUCCCGUCCCGGCCGUCCCGGGCUCCGCUCCCCGCGCCCCGACGCCGCCGCCCGUUCCUACCUGCGGCCGGGGCUGCGCUGCCCGCGGCGGGCGCUCGGGGCGCGGGCCGCUCCGGGUCGGGCCGCGCUGCGCUCCGGCUCCUCGGCUCCUCGGCUCCUCGGUUCGCGCAGCUCCCCGCAGGCUCGCCGCUCGCUCGGUCUUUCGAGGGCGGGCGGAGGGACGCGGGGAGGGGGCCGGGGAGGGAGGGCGGAGGAGCGCGCGGGCGGGGAGAUGCGCCCGGAGCCCGCCCAGCCGGGGAGGGCCCUGCCCGCCCCGCGCGCUCCCGGCCGCCUCGGCGCAGCUCCCCGCCGGCCCCGUCUCCUCCUUCCCCCUCAGCCCCUCUCCCUUCACCCCUUCUUCUUCCCUCCUUCUCGCUCCCACUCCCCCUUCCAAUUCUCCCCUUUCCCUCUACCCCCUUUCUUCUCUCUCUCCUCCCUCCCUCUCCCAGCAUCCCCUCACCCUUCUCGCCUGCUCCCCUCUCCCCUCCUCCUCUCACUUUCUCCUUCCUUCUCCUUCAGUCCGUGGGCCUUUUCCCUGCCUUGUCCUGGGGUCAGCAGUCUGUCUGUCCUGGUCUCUGUCUCCCAGUCCUCUUCUGCAUGGAUUUCCCUUUUGGCUUUUCUCUUUCCAGCUUUGCAGGUCUGCUUCUGUUGGUCUGUCCUUUUUGUUUCUCUUUCUCUGUCACCCUUUCUCUCUCUGUGGGUCACAGGCCCCCUCAGUGUGGAUGGGGUGGCUCCUGCCCCUCUGCUCUCCUCCCCCGGCAGCCUCCCCUGCCUGUUACAUGGAGCCCGCUGCUGA
rnacentral:lncRNA from 1 species